CGGCCGCAGCUCCGCCCGCCGCGCACGCAGGGGCCGAGCUUCAAUUAAAGGUGCCCUGUGCCUGGGCAGCCGGCGGCGCUCAACUCGCCUCCCUGCCCGCUUGUCCCAUUCCAACAAGGGAGUCAAAAUGCCAAAAUUCCAGGCCUUGCAUGGCGCCGGUAACAAAAACAGUCUUGGAACCAGCAGAGGACGGGACCGAUGCCACCAGAAACCCCCUCUUAUUUUCUGACAGGUGCCCAGGGUAGUCCCACACUAUCUCCUCUAUCACUGAGCUUGGGAAAUAGAAGACCUCAGAGGGCAUGAGAGAGGGAACCCAACCUGCAGCCUGCCACCACAUGAAGGGACACGGGGCUCUGAGAACCUCCUUACCUGCACACCCCUCCCUCUGUGCCAGAUGGAUGUGCAUACCAUUCUCUCUGCCAUACCCUUCUGAAUACCUUCAAUAGUUAGAAAAUUGUUACUUGGAAAUAUGUAUUACUAGCUUAACAGUUCUAAUAAAAUUUGUAUCCUGCUGAUUUUA